rnacentral:rRNA from 1 species
UAUGCACGCUGGCGGCAUGCCUAACACAUGCAAGUCGAUCGGUAAGGCUCUUCGGAGUACACGAGAGGCGGACGGCUGAGUAACGCGUAGGAACACACCCUGCAGUGAGGGAUAAGACACCGAAAGGUGUUCUAAUACCGCAUACGGUCUUCGGAUUAAAGCAUUUAUGCGCUGAAGGAGUGGCCUGCGUCAUAUUAGAUAGUUGGUGAGGUAAUGGCUCACCAAGUCGAUGAUGUGUAGCUGGUCUGAGAGGAUGAUCAGCCAGACUGGAACUGAGACACGGUCCAGACUCCUACGGGAGGCAGCAGUGAGGAAUAUUUCACAAUGAGCGAAAGCUUGAUGGAGCAAUGCCGCGUGCAGGAUGAAGGCCUUCGGGUUGUAAACUGCUUUUAUAAGAGAAGAUUAUGACGGUAACUUAUGAAUAAGGGACGGCUAACUACGUG